rnacentral:rRNA from 1 species
GUGGGGAAUUUUACGCAAUGGGGGAAACCCUGACGUAGCGACACCGCGUGAGCGAAGAAGCCCUUUGGGGUGUAAAGCUCUGUCAGCAGGAACGAAAAAAAUGACGGUACCUGCAGAGGAAGCAUCGGCUAACUACGUGCCAGCAGCCGCGGUAAGACGUAGGAUGCGAGCGUUGUCCGGAUUCAUUGGGCGUAAAGAGUUCGUAGGCGGUUUGUUAAGUCUGAUGUUAAAGAUCGGGGCCCAACCCUGGGAGUGCAUUGGAUACUGGCAGACUGGAGUGCAGUAGAGGCAAGUGGAAUUCCCAGUGUAGCGGUGAAAUGCGUAGAUAUUGGGAAGAACACCGGUGGCGCAGGCGACUUGCUGGGCUGUAACUGACGCUGAGGAACGAAAGCUAGGGGAGCAAAUGGGAUUAGAUACCCCUGUAGUCC